GUUUUACAUAAGAGUGACAAGAUAAUGCACCGUAACUCAAGUUUAAAUGUAGUAUCUCCAGGACCAGAUUUAGGACUUGGGGGAAGGCCCAUUGCACAGGCUGCAUUCCUUCUCUGCAUUCCAACCAACCAAUCCUAUAUACCAGGCCCCGAGUAUCACUGGAAAUCUAGAGAUAUAACUUUAUAUACAUUACCCAGCAUAGUCAGAAAUUACACUCAGGAAAUAUUGUCCUUUUGGUUUUCUGCAUUGUUUUUUUUUAUCUUUCAGGGCAGCAAGCGGGAAGGCACCAAGAGAGGAAGGAAACCUGGACGCAAAGCCAAGUCUGAUAUGAAGGCCAAACUAGAACGGAGUCGGCAGAGUGCUAGAGAAUGCCGUGCACGUAAAAAGCUGCGAUACCAAUAUUUAGAAGAACUUGUUGCAAAUCGUGAGAAGGCUGUGUUUGCACUUCACAGAGAAUUAGAUCAGUAUCGUCAGUGGGCAAAAGAAAUAGAUGAAGGAAAAUCCCAGAAGGUUUUCAGAAGUUAAUUGAAGAAGAAAG